UACGGGGGGGGGCAAGCGUUGUUCGGAAUUACUGGGCGUAAAGGGCUCGUAGGCGGCCAACUAAGUCAGACGUGAAAUCCCUCGGCUUAACCGGGGAACUGCAUCUGAUACUGGAUGGCUUGAGUUCGGGAGAGGGAUGCGGAAUUCCAGGUGUAGCGGUGAAAUGCGUAGAUAUCUGGAGGAACACCGGUGGCGAAGGCGGCAUCCUGGACCGGCACUGACGCUGAGGAGCGAAAGCCAGGGGAGCAAACGGG
rnacentral:rRNA from 1 species